GAUGUCCCGGUUCUAGCCUGUAGUCAUGCCUGGUAGGUAAAUCCGCCGGGUUUAGAUGAGAGGUGAUAACGAGGCGGCUUGCCGCCGAAGUGAGUAAUACCCUGCUUCCAGGAAAAGCCACUAAGCUUCAGCUACACACGACCGUACCGCAAACCGACACUGGUGCGCGAGAUGAGUAUUCUAAGGCGCUUGAGAGAACUCAGGAGAAGGAACUCGGCAAAUUGACACCGUAACUUCGGAAGAAGGUGUGCCUUUAGUAGGUGAAGUCCCCGCGGAUGGAGCCCAAUGAGGUUGCAAAAAAUCGGUGGCUGCGACUGUUUAAUAAAAACACAGCACUCUGCAAAGACGAAAGUCGACGUAUAGGGUGUGACGCCUGCCCGGUGCUGGAUUAAAUGAUGGGGUGCAAGCUCUUGAUUGAAGUCCCAGUAAACGGCGGCCGUAACGAUAACGGUCCUAAGGUAGCGAAAUUCCUUGUCGGGUAAGUUCCGACCUGCACGAAUGGCGUAACGAUGGCCACACUGUCUCCUCCUGAGACUCAGCGAAGUUGAAAUGUUUGUGAUGAUGCAAUCUCCCCGCGGAAAGACGGAAAGACCCCAUGAACCUUUACUGUAGCUUUGUAUUGGACUUUGAACAGAUCUGUGUAGGAUAGGUGGGAGGCUUUGAAGCAGGGUCGCUAGAUCUUGUGGAGCCAACGUUGAAAUACCACCCUGGUGUGUUUGAGGUUCUAACCUAGGUCCAUUAUCUGGAUCGGGGACAGUGCAUGGUAGGCAGUUUGACUGGGGCGGUCUCCUCCCAAAGCGUAACGGAGGAGUUCGAAGGUACGCUAGUUACGGUCGGACAUCGUGACGAUAGUGCAAUGGCAUAAGCGUGCUUAACUGCGAGACUGACAAGUCGAGCAGAUGCGAAAGCAGGACAUAGUGAUCCGGUGGUUCUGUAUGGAAGGGCCAUCGCUCAACGGAUAAAAGGUACUCUGGGGAUAACAGGCUGAUACCGCCCAAGAGUUCAUAUCGACGGCGGUGUUUGGCACCUCGAUGUCGGCUCAUCUCAUCCUGGGGCUGUAGCCGGUCCCAAGGGUAUGGCUGUUCGCCAUUUAAAGAGGUACGUGAGCUGGGUUUAAAACGUCGUGAGACAGUUUGGUCCCUAUCUUCCGUGGGCGCUGCAGAUUUGAGGAAGCCUGCUCCUAGUACGAGAGGACCGGAGUGGACAUACCUCUGGUGUAUCGGUUGUCACGCCAGUGGCAUUGCCGAGUAGCUAAGUAUGGAAGAGAUAACCGCUGAAAGCAUCUAAGCGGGAAACUCGUUUCAAGAUGAGAUCUGCCGGGGCCUUGAGCCCCCUAAAGAGUCGUUCAAGACCAGGACGUUGAUAGGUCGGGUGUGGAAGCGCAGUAAUGCGUUAAGCUAACCGAUACUAAUUGCUCGUGCGGCUUGACCCU
rnacentral:rRNA from 1 species